UAUGAGGAAGUUUAGCUUGCUAAAUGGACUCAUGGCGGACGGGUGAGUAACGCGUAAAGAACUUGCCCUUUAGACUGGGAUAACAGAGGGAAACUUCUGAUAAUACUGGAUAAGUUAGUAUAUCGCAUGAUAUGCAAAUGAAAGCUACGGCACUAAAGGAGAGCUUUGCGUCCUAUUAGCUAGUUGGUAAGGUAAGAGCUUACCAAGGCGAUGAUAGGUAGCCGGCCUGAGAGGGUGGACGGCCACAAGGGGACUGAGAUACGGCCCUUACUCC
rnacentral:rRNA from 1 species